AUUGAACGCUGGCGGCAUGCCUUACACAUGCAAGUCGAACGGCAGCACGGGAGCAAUCCUGGUGGCGAGUGGCGAACGGGUGAGUAUUAUAUCGGAACGUGCCUUUCAGUGGGGGAUAACGUAGCGAAAGUUACGCUAAUACCGCAUAUUCUCUGAGGAGGAAAGCAGGGGACCUUCGGGCCUUGCGCUGAUAGAGCGGCCGAUAUCAGAUUAGCUAGUUGGUGGGGUAAAGGCCUACCAAGGCGACGAUCUGUAGCGGGUCUGAGAGGAUGAUCCGCCACACUGGGACUGAGACACGGCCCAGACUCCUACGGGAGGCAGCAGUGGGGAAUUUUGGACAAUGGGCGAAAGCCUGAUCCAGCCAUGCCGCGUGAGUGAAGAAGGCCUUCGGGUUGUAAAGCUCUUUCGGCCGGGAAGAAAUCGCACAGGCUAAUACCUUGUGUGGAUGACGGUACCGGAAUAAGAAGCACCGGCUAACUACGUGCCAGCCGCCGCCGUAA
rnacentral:rRNA from 1 species